GUGUGGUAUAAUGGGUAUAGUGUCAGACUAAGACUUUGGAGACCUGGGUUCAAAUCCCCACUUAGCCA